GAUGAACGCUGGCGGCGUGCCUAAUACAUGCAAGUCGAGCGAACGGACGAGAAGCUUGCUUCUCUGAUGUUAGCGGCGGACGUGUGAGUAACACGUGGAUAACCUACCUAUAAGACUGGGAUAACUUCGGGAAACCGGAGCUAAUACCGUAUAAUAUUUUGAACCGCAUGGUUCAAAAGUUAAAGACGGUCUUUCUGUCACUUAUAGAUGUAUCCGCGCUGCAUUAGCUAGUUGGUAAGGUAACGGCUUACCAAGGCAACGAUGCAUAGCCGACCUGAGAGGGUGAUCGGCCACACUGGAACUGAGACACGGUCCAGACUCCUACGGGAGGCAGCAGAAGGGAAUCUUCCGCAAUGGGCGAAAGCCUGACGGAGCAACGCCGCGUGAGUGAUGAAGGUCUUCGGAUCGUAAAACUCUGUUAUUAGGGAAGAACAUAUGUGUAAGUAACUGUGCACAUCUUGACGGUACCUAAUCAGAAAGCCACGGCUAACUACGUG
rnacentral:rRNA from 1 species